rnacentral:tRNA from 2 species
GGACAUAUAGCUCAGUUGGUCAGAGCAUUACGUUGACAUCGUAAAUGUCACUGGUUCGAAUCCAGUUAUGUCCA